rnacentral:misc_RNA from 1 species
AAGUCAUAACAAGGUUUCCGUAGGUGAACCUGCGGAAGGAUCAUUAAUAAGGUCUUCAAGUGGACAUCACUUGACCCACACACACCGUGAACCGUGGCUUCGGCCCAAACUUUUACAGUAUUGAAUGUGUAUCAUCGUAACAAAAACACAACUUUCAACAACGGAUCUCUUGGCUCUC